rnacentral:rRNA from 1 species
CAAUAGCGUAUAUUUAAGUUGUUGCAGUUAAAAAGCUCGUAGUUGGAUUUCGGUUAAGAGCGACCGGUCCGCCGUUUGGUGUGCACUGGUUGGUUUUAACUUCCUGUAGAGGACGUGCUCUGGGUUUAACGACCUGGACUCGGAGUCUACGUGGUUACUUUGAAAAAAUUAGAGUGUUCAAAGCGGGCUUACGCUUGAAUGUUUCAGCAUGGAAUAACACUAUAGGACUCCUGUCCUAUUUCGUUGGUCUCGGGACGGGAGUAAUGAUUAAGAGGAACAGUUGGGGGCAUUCGUAUUUCAUUGUCAGAGGUGAAAUUCUUGGAUUUAUGAAAGACGAACUUCUGCGAAAGCAUUUGCCAAGGAUGUUUUCAUUAA